GUCUCCCGGAGAGGCGUCUCCGGGCUGACCGCGGCCGCAGCUCCGCUCCUCUGCCUGAGCCGUGCGGCAGCCCUGGGAGCCUCUCAACGCCGAGCUUUCCUCAGAAGCCCGCGGCGACCCGGGCCUCGGCCGCUGUUCCUGCCCGAACUGAGGGCACAUCGCGCUUCGCGCGGGAUUUCCCAUAAAUUCAGGCUCCGGGCAAGAUUGUGUGUUUUUUCCUCUCCGCGGGCCGCCGCUGGCCGUGUGGGCCGAAGAAGCCCUGGAGGGGGAGAGGGGAGCCGCUCUCGACUGGGCUUGCGGCGUGGGAGGGACAGUGAGGGACACUUAGGGACUGUGUGGGGCAGUGAAGGAUAGUGUGGGAUGAUGAGGGACCGUGUGGACCGGUGAGCGACUGUGUGGGACAGUGCGGGACGAUGAGAGACGGUGUGGGACGGUGAGGGACAGUGCGGGACGAUGAGGGACAGUGAGGGACUGUGUAGGACAGUGAGGGACAGUGUGGGACGGUGAGGGACUGUGGGACAGUGAGGGACUUUGGGACUGUGAGGGACUCGGACAGUGAAGGAUGGCAAGGGACAGUGUGGGACAGUAUGGGACAGUGGACAGUGAGGCACUGUGAGGGGCGGUGAGGGACAAUGAAGGAUGUCAAGGGACAGUGUGGGACAGUGGACGGUGAGGUACUGUGAGGGGCGGUGAGGGACAGUGUGGGACUGUGAGGGAUGGCGAGGGACAGAGUAGGACAGCAAGGGAGGAUGAGGGGACAGAGUGGGCCGGCGUGGGGCGGUGAGGCUACGCGGGGGGAACCCAGGGCUCCUCUGACUGCGUUGGAAUAUGGAGGAAAGGUCCUGCUCGAGGUUGAGCCCUUCAGGGUCGCUGUGGGUUUCCAGGAGGAGCUCCCUCACUACUGACUUAGGGGGCCCUCGGCUUCCCAGUGUAAGAAGAAGCUGUCUUUGGAGUGAGAACAAGGGUGAGGUUCUGGCUCAGAAACCUUAGAAUCACAGACACUGUUUUCCUGAAAACAUUGCUUCUUUCUCUCAUCUCAAAGAAAUGCCACAAGUCGUGUGUUUCCCCACUGCGAGCCCUUCGAGAACAAUGUCAUGUUGAUCGAUGGCAGUGACUCACACCAGAUCUUUCCAUGCCUCCUCUGCAAGGACUCAAGAGAGUCGAGAGCAAAACCGUGCCAUAGUUCCAUAAGGAGGGCAAAGAGCUUUAUCCACGCUGAGGAACAGGCGGAUCAUGCGGCUACAGCACUGGUCUUUACCUUUUAACUGCUUGAUUCGAAACAUUCCAGCCAGGAACAGUGGCUCACACCUGUAAUCCCAGCACUUUGUGGGGCCAAGGCAGGUGGAUUGCUCGAGCUCAGGAGUUCGAAACCAGCCUGGGCAACCUGGCAAAACCUCAUCUCUACAAAAAAAUACAAAAAUUAGCCAGGCCUGGUGUGUGUGCCUGUGGUUCCAGCCACUCGGCAGGCUGCGGCCAGAGGAUCACUUGAGCCCAGGAAGUGGAGGCUGCAGUGAGCUGAGAUCGUGCCGCCACACUCCAGCCUGGGUGACAGAGCCAGACAUUGUCUCUAAAAAAAAAAAAAAAAGAAAAGAAAAGAAAGAAAAAAGAGAAAUAGUCCAAGACUAGGGAGAAAACCUUCUUUGGGGUCAGUGUGAACCAUUCUUUCAUUUGUUCAGCAAAUGCUUACUGAGGAGCUACUGUGUCCCUGAAAUUGCCUCCACCUCCAAGAAGACAGUGGUGAGCAAGUCAGACAAUACCUCUAAUCUCAUGGUAUUUAUAAGUAAAUGGGCCGUUAAAAUUACCAGAUCAGAAGUGCUGUGUUCAGCAAAUAGAGGCUCAUGGGAAACUCCUAAGAAGGGCUUCUGAGCUGGACUUGGGGGUCAGGAAAGGCAGAAUGAGGGGGCUGACUCAUCCAGACUGGGGCGGGGUUGCCGGGGGUGCCUCCCACUUACUAUCUGUCUCCUUCUAGACUGACUUCUCUGUCAUCAUGAAUACACCCCUUUAAGACAUACAUUUAAGAGAAAAUAAGAGGAUGCCUUAUUUAUUUAAAGGUUUGUUACAGUUUUACUAACAACCACAUACCUAAAGGAAAGUCGCAAGUAGAGCUCAAAAACUUUUUUCUCUGGGGCAGUGAAGAGUCAGUUGCCAGCCAGAAGGCCCACUGAGCCUGAGCACUUCAGGGUGUGCUUCCUACAGAUAAGGACAUCCUCCUGCAUAACAGGAAAGGGGUCCUGAUCCAGACCCCAAGAGAGGGUUCUUGGAUCUCGCACAAGAAAGAAUUCCGGGUGA
rnacentral:lncRNA from 1 species